GGGAAUUUAGCUCAGUGGCAUAAGCGUCUGCCUUGCAAGCAGAUAGUUGUGAGUUCAAUCCCUG
rnacentral:tRNA from 1 species